ACGCGAAAGGCCCCUUCGGGGGCCGAGUAGAGUGGCGUCCGGGUGAGUAACACGUAGGUAAUCUACCUCUGGGUGGGGAAUAACGACCGGAAACGGUCGCUAAUACCGCAUAAUGCAGCGGCACCACAUGGUGACAGUUGUUAAAGCGGGGGAUCGCAAGACCUCGCGCCUAGAGAGGAGCCUGCGGCGGAUUAGCUAGUUGGCAGGGUAAUGGCCUACCAAGGCGACGAUCCGUAGCCGGCCUGAGAGGGCGGUCGGCCACACUGGCACUGACACACGGGCCAGACUCCUACGGGAGGCAGCAGUCGGGAAUUUUGGGCAAUGGGCGAAAGCCUGACCCAGCAACGCCGCGUGAAGGAUGAAGCUUUUCGGAGUGUAAACUUCAUAAGAAUGGGACGAAUAAGGAAGGGCUAAUACCCCUUUUGAUGACGGUACCAUUUGUAAGCUCCGGCUAACUCCGUGCCAGCAGCCGCGGUAAUACGGGGGGAGCAAGCGUUG
rnacentral:rRNA from 1 species